rnacentral:rRNA from 1 species
UGCAGUAGGAAUCUUCCACAAGGGCGAAAGCCUGAUGGAGCAACGCCGCGUGUGUGAUGAAGGCUUUCGGGUCGUAAAGCACUGUUGUAUGGGAAGAAAAGUUAAGGUAGGGAAUGACCUUAGCCUGACGGUACCAUACCAGAAAGGGACGGCUAAAUACGUGCCAGCAGCCGCGGUAAUACGUAUGUCCCGAGCGUUAUCCGGAUUUAUUGGGCGUAAAGCGAGCGCAGACGGUUGGUUAAGUCUGAUGUGAAAGCCCGGAGCUCAACUCCGGAAAGGCAUUGGAAACUGGUUAACUUGAGUGCAGUAGAGGUAAGUGGAACUCCAUGUGUAGCGGUGGAAUGCGUAGAUAUAUGGAAGAACACCAGCGGCGAAGGCGGCUUACUGGACUGUAACUGACGUUGAGGCUCGAAAGUGUGGGUAGCAAACAGGAUUAGAUACCCUGGUAGUCCACACCGUAAACGAUGAACACUAGGUGUUAGGAGGUUUCCGCCUCUUAGUGCCGAAGCUAACGCAUUAAGUGUUCCGCCUGGGGAGUACGACCGCAAGGUUGAAACUCAAAGGAAUUGACGGGGACCCGCACAAGCGGUGGAGCAUGUGGUUUAAUUCGAAGCAACGCGAAGAACCUUACCAGGUCUUGACAUCCUUUGAAGCUUUUAGAAAUAGAAGUGUUCUCUUCGGAGACAAAGUGACAGGUGGUGCAUGGUCGUCGUCAGCUCGUGUCGUGAGAUGUUGGGUUAAGUCCCGCAACGAGCGCAACCCUUAUUGUUAGUUGCCAGCAUUCAGAUGGGCACUCUAGCGAGACUGCCGGUGACAAACCGGAGGAAGGCGGGGACGACGUCAGAUCAUCAUGCCCCUUAUGACCUGGGCUACACACGUGCUACAAUGGCGUAUACAACGAGUUGCCAACCUGCGAAGGUGAGCUAAUCUCUUAAAGUACGUCUCAGUUCGGACUGCAGUCUGCAACUCGACUGCACGAAGUCGGAAUCGCUAGUAAUCGCGGAUCAGCACGCCGCGGUGAAUACGUUCCCGGGUCUUGUACACACCGCCCGUCACACCAUGGAAGUUUGUAAUGCCCAAAGCCGGUGGCCUAACCGUAAGGAGGGAACCGUCUAAGGCAG